GGGUAUAGCUCUGUAGUAAAGCACAUGCUUAGUAACCAUGAGGUCCUGGGUUCAAUCCCCAGUAUUGCCA
rnacentral:tRNA from 1 species